CGUACGAUCACCGAAGUUAAGCAAUGAUGAGCUUGGUCAGUACUUAGAUGGGUGAACGCUUGGUAAUACCCGGUGCUGUAA